AUACGGAGGAUCCGAGCGUUAUCCGGAUUUAUUGGGUUUAAAGGGUGCGCAGGCGGGGGAUUAAGUCGGCGGUGAAAUUUUGCAGCUCAACUGUAAAAGGGCCUUCGAAACUGGGUUCCUUGAGUGUAGAUGAAGUAGGCGGAAUUUGUGGGGUAGCGGUGAAAUGCAUAGAUAUCACGAGGAACUCCGAUUGCGCAGGCAGCUUACUAAACUACUACUGACGCUCAGGCACGAAGGCGUGGGGAUCAAACAGGAUUAGAUACCCUGGUAGUCCACGCAGUAAACGAUGAUUACUAGCUGUUUGCGAUACAAUGUAAGCGGCUGAGCGAAAGCGUUAAGUAAUCCACCUGGGGAGUACGUUCGCAAGAAUGAAACUCAAAGGAAUUGACGGGG
rnacentral:rRNA from 1 species